CAUGGGAUGCUCCUGCCGGACUCCAUCUUGCCCUCAUUGUACAUGCUGUGUGUAUUCCUUUGGCGUACACAGCGCAUGCAAUGUGGACAGGAGGGAGGCCGAAAGUCGACGGACCAUUA
rnacentral:pre_miRNA from 11 species